rnacentral:rRNA from 1 species
GACAGAGGGUGCAAACGUUGUUCGGAAUUACUGGGCGUAAAGCGCAUGUAGGCGGUUCGUAAAGUCAGAUGUGAAAGCCCUGGGCUUAACCCAGGAAGUGCAUUUGAAACUCACGAACUUGAGUCCCGGAGAGGAAGGUGGAAUGCUUGGUGUAGAGGUGAAAUUCGUAGAUAUCAAGCGGAACACCGGUGGCGAAGGCGGCCUUCUGGACAGUGACUGACGCUGAGACACGAAAGCGUGGGGAGCAAACAGG